rnacentral:rRNA from 1 species
GUGGGGAAUAUUGCACAAUGGGCGCAAGCCUGAUGCAGCGACGCCGCGUGGGGGAUGACGGCCUUCGGGUUGUAAACUCCUUUCGCUAGGGACGAAGCGUAUUUGUGACGGUACCUGGAGAAGAAGCACCGGCUAACUACGUGCCAGCAGCCGCGGUAAUACGUAGGGUGCGAGCGUUGUCCGGAAUUACUGGGCGUAAAGAGCUCGUAGGUGGUUUGUCGCGUCGUUUGUGUAAGCCCGCAGCUUAACUGCGGGACUGCAGGCGAUACGGGCAUAACUUGAGUGCUGUAGGGGAGACUGGAAUUCCUGGUGUAGCGGUGGAAUGCGCAGAUAUCAGGAGGAACACCGAUGGCGAAGGCAGGUCUCUGGGCAGUAACUGACGCUGAGGAGCGAAAGCAUGGGUAGCGAACAGGAUUAGAAACCCGAGUAGUCC